rnacentral:lncRNA from 1 species
CAAAGAUUCUGGAAGGGAGACCAUUGUCUAUAGAAAAUGUUCUUAAGUUUUAAUAGUUUUUUUUCCAUCUAGAAAAAUUUGAUAUAGAAAGGCUGAUGCUGUAAGUAUUCAUUCCACUAAUGGUCUCGUUUUGAUUGCUCUCUUAGCAGGUUGCAGAGUCACAGUUUGAUUGAGAGCUGCAGAAUAUGUACUGAAUCCAAACAUUGCAUGCUUAUUUUAAGCUUAACAUUUCUCUAUCUGUGUUUAGGAUGCUUAAUUGAAGUAGUGGCCCAGGAGCAGACUAUUCAGACUCCAGCGACUCCAAUGAGAAGUGCAGCGGGUCCCAUCUGGAUGAACCAGGUACCCUUCAAUCUCUAAGUCCUCCAAUGGUCUUGCAGCAACACUACUUUGCUUGUUCCAGAACCUUCACCUGGGUCAGGAGGAAACCCCAUAACUGUCCCUUUGAAGUUGAAUUGCAUCACUGUGGGUAAGAUGUGGGGCAACGGUGUAAUUCCAUGACAAUCAGAAGUACUACAACAGGGCUGAAUCUGCUCUGUAUUAUAACAUUUCUUCCCUAGGGGCAUAACGUCUGCAAUCAGUAUCAUCUUUUAAUGAUUAGCAAUUUCUUUUGGGCUGAAUGCAGAACAUGGAAAUAAUAUAAAUGCAUUGCAACUAUCUACAUAUAUGGUGAAUUUAUUCCUGUAUCUAGUGCUCUUCAGUUGCUUUCUGUACAACGUGCAGGUGGCUUUAUGGCCCUACAAAUGUCUUUUUAUGUACUUGCAUGAGCCUCUGUUGAAUUUCAGGCUCUAAAAGAUGACAGUGCUGACUUCAGAUUAUUGUCAUUUGUGCACUUUGCAGUGAGUUAAGGAGAAGGACUGUGGAUUGUUUAUAAUCUUGAAAGAGCAGAUUCCACUUAACAACCUUACCCUCAGAGCAGACAGCGGCGUUCCUCACAAAUUAGCAGAUGCUGAUUGUGUUUCAGCUCCUGCGACCGUGUUCACAAGUGCCUGAAUUCAAAGGGCAAAAUAGGAUCUGCCUCUUGUAGGAAAUCACAGCCACAAAAGCAGACAAGACAUGCUGCUUAAAGGGUUAGAGUCGUUUUCUACCUUUCUCUGUGCUGUCUGGAUUCUGGCAUCGUUAUGAUACAUCCCCUCUGUAAUGAACUACUUCACAUACAAUGGUCAUACUCAAUUCAAAACUCCUGAGAGGGUGUUGCAGAAAAAUAUUUAACCUCUGCUACUUAUUUUUCAUGAGAUUUGAGGUAUUGUGAAAUUUAAGAAGCUCGUGAGAUUUUCACUGCUUGGCUUAUGAAAUUCAUUUCCAGCUCAGUGGAUUGUGGUUUCAGGAUUUUGCACAUCUGGGUUUGCCAUGGGUUGUGAGGGGAGAUGUCUGAUGAGCCUCCAGA